UUGGAGGGCAAGUCUGGUGCCAGCAGCCGCGGUAAUUCCAGCUCCAAUAGCGUAUAUUAAAGUUGUUGCAGUUAAAAAGCUCGUAGUUGAACUUCGGGAUCAAUGGAUUGGUCAUGCCGAUGGUAUGUACUGGUCAUAUUGGUUCUCACCUUCUAAGGAACCAUAAUGUCAUUCAUUUGAUGUUUUGGGGAAUUAGGACUGUUACCUUGAAAAAAUUAGAGUGUUUAAAGCAGGCUCACGCUUGAAUACAUUAGCAUGGAAUAAUGAAAUAGGACAUCCGAUUCUAUUUUGUUGGUUUCUAGGAUCGAUGUAAUGAUUAAUAGGGAUAGUUGGGGGCAUUAGUAUUCAAUUGUCAGAGGUGAAAUUCUUGGAUUUAUUGAAGACUAACUACUGCGAAAGCAUUUGCCAAGGAUGUUUUCAUUAAUCAAGAACGAAAGUUAGGGGAUCGAAGACGAUCAGAUACCGUCGUAGUCUUAACCAUAAACUAUGCCGACUAGGGAUCGGAUGAUGUUAAUUUUUUAAUGACUCAUUCGGCGCCUUACGGGAAAC
rnacentral:rRNA from 1 species